rnacentral:lncRNA from 1 species
CUGACCAUGGAGUUGAUUUUCAGAAAUAUUGAAGGACGAAAGAAAUGGCAGAUCUGCCAAUCUAUUUGGAAUCGUCCCAGACAACCUGUUUGAAGAUAGGUCCAACCAUUCAAGAUUUGUCAAAUUCCCUAUUGAAGUGGGGAUACCACCAUUAAGGUUAUUGUGAGAAAGGUUGAGCCCUUUCAGUAAGUUAAGCUUCCCAAUAACCUUUGGAAUCUCUCCUUCAAACUGAUUGUUUGAUAGAUCAAUGAUCAUCCACAUGGUGAAAAUUUUCACCAAUUCCAUAUAUUUUCCUUUCAUAAUAAUUCCAAUAGAAUAGGCAUAGAAGCCGCUAGUAUAAUCUCCCACACCCAUGUAUGGCCUUGCACUACCUUUUUUCUUGAGAUUUAUGAUAGCCUUGAAGCUGUUGAUGUAUCUCACUGGUAGGGGUCCAGAAAAAUAGUUACUUGAGAGGUCAAAAUUUUGGAUUUUAGAGAAGAAAGGGCUAGACUUGGGGCUAUUGACACGCAAAGAACCAUGCAUAUGAUUAGACUUCAAUACAAGAACUUGCAAAUAUGGAAGACUUCCCAACCAAUGAGGAAAUGUAUCAUUGAUCUUGUUGUUACCAAGAUCUAGCACUUCCAGACCUCUACAAUUAAGGAUGGAUGGUGUCAAUGGCCCUUCUAACAAAUUUCCAUUUAAGUUGAAAUUACUCAAUUGGCAUCCCUCUGCAAAUGUUGGAGGAAUCGUCCCAUAAAACUUGUUCUUCUUCAGAUUUAAGAAUUCAAGGCUGUUGCUCAAAUUUCCAAAACAUUGCGGAAUUGUUCCACUCAAGUUAUUGUGGGACAAAUCAAGAAUAAGAAGAGAAGUGACAUUGCAGAUUAAAGAAGAGACCUCUCCAUUGAAACUAUUAUUUGAGAUCAGAAAGACAUUGAUGGUCGAAGCUGGAAUCGGAAGAUUUCCACGGAUCAAAUUGGAGCUUAAGUCAAGAACUUCAAUAUUCUUCCAUGGAAAGUGCUCAACUUCUGUCAAAGAGUUGUGAGAUACGUUUAAGUAAGCCAAAGAGCCUUUCCCCACCUCUUGCAUCCACUGUGGAAUCUUGCCUUCAAUUUUGUUGCAAGAGAGGUCUAAGCGUUUCAAACUUUUAAGCCCUUCCAAAAAUUGGGGGAAUUCACUAAGAUUGCAAGAUGACAAACGUAAGUCCAUAAGAUUAGGCAAUAUAUGGUUAACACAAGAAGUAGUAUUAGAUGUUAAGGAUAGGCUAUUAUAUGAAAGGUCGAGAAGUUUUAGAGUUGGAAGGUUUGAGAACAUGCGAAACUCUAUGACACCACUAAGAUUAUUUGAGGAUAAAACGAGGCGGGUAAGAUUGAGAAGUUGGAAUAUAGAAGAUGGAAGAGGACCUUGGAGUUUAUUAUCGUUUAACCUUAUGAAUUCUAGUGAUUUGGAUUGGAAUUCUUUGAUAUGCCCACUGAAUUGAUUUUGAGAGAGAGAUAUUGUCUUUAAGGAGGGUGCAGUAUACAACCAUGACGGAAGUGUUCCGUUGAGUAAAUUGUCAAAUAAGUAUAAAUAUAUUAGAUUAGGAAAAGCGGUUACCUCAUCUGGAAUGGAACCUUCUAAAGAAUUAUUAUAUAUUCCCAAGUAUUCCAGCUGCGUUAGGUUUAGAAUUGAGAAUGGAAUUUGUCCACUCAAUUUGUUCCCGGACAAGUCUAAAUAAGUGAGUUGCAAGAGGUUCCCCAAUGAUCUUAGAAUUUGUCCACUCAGUUGGUUCCACGACAAGUCUAAAUGAGUGAGUUGCAAGAGGUUUCCCAAUGAUCUUGGAACCGUUUCUGAUAAGUUGGAAUUGGAGAGAUCUAAAAACUUCAAGGACACAAGAUUCCCCAUCGAGUCAGGCAAUCCUCCAAAAACAUUUGCUACUGAAAUUAUCAAUUGCUCCAAAGAUGAUAAAUUUGUGAUUGAGACAGACAAUCCUUGAAAGAAAGAAUUUUGUGAUAGAUCUAAGUACUUUAAGGCCGGUAGAUUGUCAACUGAAUCAAUGAAUUCUGUAGAGAAGGACAUGAAAGACAGAUCCAAAUGUUCAAGAUUGCUGCUCCGAUUCAACUUCAAAGGAUCAAGAUUGAGGUUUUGGUUGCCUCCCAAGUUGAGGAGAUUGAGGUUUGGCAAGUCAAAAAUGUUUUUUGGGAACUUUCCUUGCAAAUCACAAUAAGCAAGACUGAGAGACCUUAGAGAAGAGGAUAGAUUCAUGAAGACAUGAGCAUUAACAGAAGACAUGUCCAUUCCAUCCAAAAACAGAUGUCUGACCUCGGUUAGGUUGUGAACAAGUCCCUCCAGAGCAUGUUUGUCAAUUGUUUGCUCAUCAUCCCAAGAGGAGAGAUCAAGUGAAACCAAUUUUGACAGGCGGGAGACUUGGGAUGGGACUUCUCCUGCAAACCCUGUAUAAGAAAGGUUGAGGUAGAAUAGGCUUGUAAAGCGACCGAACUCGGAUGGAAUUUUGGAAAGAUUAAAAUCAUUGAAGGCAAGGUUGAGUUUUUGAAGGUGAGGAAGAAGGAAGAGAGUGGUAUUGGAAGGGAAGGUGCAAUAUAGCCAACUGCAGCUCAAGUCAAGGGCAAUAACAUGAGCAUUUAGGUGGUCACAAGUGACCCCAUCCCAUGAGCAGCAAUCUGUACCCUCCUUCCAUGAAUUUGUCUUGGGAUAAGAUUUAAGGCCAGCAAAAUCAUUGCAAUAAGAAGAAGCAUCCUCUAUUAUGGAAAAAGAGUUCUUGAACUGGAUUAAUGAAGAGCAGGAGUGAGAUCCUAAAGAAGAAAAAGAAGCAUAAAGAUGGGGAAAGAAGAGGAAGAGGCAGAGAAAGAGAUAGGAGGCCAUGUUAUGUUGGUAGAGGAAGAUGAAGGAUAGGAAUGGUAUUUAUAGGCAACAAAUAAUACCACAACAUUGGUGUUACAGUCUUUCUUUUCUUUUACAUUGAAAAGCUAUGGAUAUUAGAUUUUCAAAAUUUUUGUAUUUUUCACAAUCAUCAACAACCACUUAGUCCUUUUAUCAUAUAUUUUUCAUUCUUAAAAUUAGAUAUUAGAUUUUCAAAAUAUUUGUAUUUUUCAUUUGAACUCUCUAAACAACUCAAAAAAUUAAGAUUAACUUAGUCUUUUUUCUUAUAACACUUAAAGAAUGUGUGUAAUCUAUUCACAGGUUAACCAAAGCUAAGUAAUGUGGAAAUUCUUUUUCACACGAAAGAACAAAAUUGUGCUCUAUUCACUACGUUUGAGGAAGAAGACUGUUGGAAAUUUUAUUCACCGAUUCCAUAAAUUAAAACGUGUAUACUUAUAUAUAUAUAUUUAUAACCUCAUAAUUCAAAUCUAAAAUCUUAUUUGUUAUAAAUUCUAAUAAAUUUAUUUGGGAAUAGUUAUUUUUCAUUCGUUAAUUAUUUCUCUUUUAAUCAAGUAAAAAAUUAAAACUAAAAAGACAUAAUGAUUACUUUUACCCUUGAAACUUAUAUGGUUCGUUAAAUCACCCAUUGAUGACAUAUUAACCUUUGAGUUAAACUCAAAUUGCUCUUUCCUUUGUUAUAAAUUAAGAGUAUAACUAAUUUUGAUAAGAAUGGUUACUUUUCAUUAACACAGUUUAAAGGACCAUAACACGUAAACUUUGGUCUAUUGCAGAAUUCACAUGCAAUGCAGGACAUUUACAUUAUGCAGAAUUCAACACAUAUAUGGGAAUUUUUGUAUUUCCACAAUCAUCAUGUUUUUAGUGAUCAACAACUACUUCCUUUUUACCAUAUAUUUUUCAUUCAUAAAAUUGAUUACUUCUUUUUACCAAAGAAGUAAAAUAAUUAACAUUCCUGAGAUUACAAAGUCUUCUUCCUUAUAACACGUCAAAUUUGGUCCCAAAUAAAUUUCCACACAAAAUUAAGAAUACACAAAGGCAGGAUGAAUUAUUCCAUGUUUGAACAUCUGCAACAUAAAUGCAUAUGGCAAAAAGGCUCAAACCAUACCUUAAGUUCAUGAAUUCUCAUCAUCACAUGUUUAUAAAUGCAACUCAAACUUGAAUAAUUGAAUCUUUUGUAAUUCUACAUGUAUUUGUUUUUUUUUAUGGUGAGCAGUAUAAUGUUUACUAAAAAUUGAAAUUCAAGAAAGAAGACAUACAUAGUUGCACCAUUCAAGAUAAACUUACCUCGAGUAUUGAUACUCGGGUUGAAGUAUCGAUACCAAAUCUUUUUUAUCAUAUAUUUUUCAUUCACAAAAUUGGAUACAUUUUUUUACCAAAAUUUUGUAUUUCAUUUGAAUUCCCUAAACAACUGAGAAAAUUAAAAUUGAUGAGAUUAUAAAGUAGAUUGACUUAAUCUUCUUCCUUAUAAUACGUAAAGAAUGUGAGUGUCUAUUUACUUAGUAUGUAUGGCUGUCAAGCAAUGUAGAAAUUUGCACACAAAAGAACAAAUUUGUGGACUACUUAAAAAUUCAAAGCAUGUGUGGCCAAUAUUCAUUUAUUUUAUUGCAUAAAAUUCAAGGCAUGUGUGUUGAAUAAUUUUAUCCAAGAAGCAUAUUUUCCACAAAACUUUAAUCGGUUGGCAUUAAAUAUGUCAUUUUCUAUUAACUGCAAGAAAACUAUCCGGUAAACUACAUCUUCUUCUUUUAGAUAAAAUUUUGUAAAAAAAAAUUUGACAUUAUCACUUAUAUAGUUAUAUGGUCCUUCAAUUUUAUUUUUUUUAAAAAAAAAAGUAAUUUUAACUCUCCAUUUAAUAUUUCACCUCUUUGAGUUUUUAAAUUUGUGUUAUUUAUCAAAUCAUCCCAGAAUGUAUGAAAAAGUUAACAUUUGUUAACUUUAUUGACGGAACAUACAUAUCGAUAUCAUAUAAACAAUUAAUUGAUUUUUAAAUUUUAAAAAUUUUAAAAAUAAAACAUAUAUUAAAAUUUCUAAGAAAUGAGAAAAUUUGGAAGCAUUGCAAAAGAAUGUGCAAUAAUUCCAAACAAAUUAACGCAACAUUUUAGUUACCACUUAUAUAGUCCUUCAAUUUUAUUUAAAAAAAAUUAUUUUAACUCUGCAUUUAAUUUUUCGCCUCUUUAAACUUUUAAUUUGUGUUAUUUAUCAAAUCUUCCAAACAAAUUAACGCCGUAAUAACCCAUUUUUCCCGGCCCAUAAUUAACCAAAUUAAAAAAAACGAAAUAUAAAAUUUUAAUAACAGUCCACUACAAACACAAUAAGUAGCAGGCCCAAAACCCAAAUGCACUACCUAAUUACAAACCCAACUAAACCCUAACCCAAUACAAACCCCAAAAGCCCAGCUUGCAGCCCACAACACUAAAAACAAUAGAAACCCUAGCAACAGUUUCAGCCGCCGCAACAGUGGCCCCAGCGCUGCAGACUGUCCUCCGCGCGUGUCAAGCCUCCGCGCGCGUGCGCCUCCAAGCUAGCAUGUACCUGCAACGAACAAUAAACAGCAAGCAGCAAGAGAGGCAAAAUAACAGAUUGAUAGCUAAAAAAUAAAGAGUUUUUUUGUAUUUUUUCUUUUUUUCAUUUUUCGGUUAUAUAAAGCCACUUGUGAUACUGUAAAAGGGAUUACGCAUUCGAAAGAAAAAAAAAAGAAUCAAAUAGCAGCAUAAUUUUAAGGUGGUUUCCGAUUUCUACUUCUUUUUUUUUCUUUUUCCUUUGAUUUGUUUUUAUUUGUUGAUUAAAAGAUAAAAAAAAGGGAAGUUCUUACCUACAUAUUGCGCCGCCAGGAGCCUUCGUCCCUUCUGUUUCAAAUCGAAAUGGGGUGGGCAAUGGUCGAAUCAAAAGCGGCGCACAUAGGAUAGAUUUUAGGGUUGGUUAGAUUUUUUUUUUUUAGAAAUGGAGUGUCUGCUAAUGUUAACUUAUAUAUAGCGUAUGAAACGACGACAUUUGAUGCCAUUUUAGUGGUUUCAAAAUGGCGUCGUAUAGGGCCGAGAUCCGUGCGGUGACCCGACCCGGGGAGGAUCCGCGUGUUUUCACUUUGGUGGGAUAUUUGUGCGCUAGGUUCUCUACCUUUGCACUUUGUUUUAAUUCGGUUUAUUUUGAUUCUUCAAAUUGGGCUGCAUAAUUUCCUGCUGACUACAUUUUAGUCCAUUUGCAGCGGUGCGUUUUGGUGGGCAAGGAAUAUUUCCUAUUUUAGUCCCCAUGUUAUUCGCGGUUUGUAAUUUGGUCCUUUCCUUUUAUAUAUAUAAUAAUUUUAUAUAAUACUAUUUUAUAUAUAUAUAAUUUGUAUUAAGUUUUUUAUAUAUCAUCGAUUUCAUAUUUACGUAUUUUUCUACUUAUUUCAUAUAUAAUCUGUUUCAUUUAAAACUUUACUUUAUUAUAUACUUGAUUUAUAUCAACCUUUUAUACAUACUAUUAUACGUAUACGUAUAUUGUUUAUUUUAAAUUAAUAUGUAUAUAUUAUUUCAUGUAUUUCGGUUUUCUUCAUAUACAAUAUUCACUUUAAAAUUCAUUUUAAUAUUAUUUUUUUCGUAGUAUUUAUUUUUUAUCUUCAUUUUUGACUUAUUUCAAACUCAUAUAUGUAUAUCUAUUAUCUUUGCUAAUGUGCAUACAUAUGCAACUUCAUUUAAAUAUAAAAAAUCUAAAAAUAAUUAAAUAUGUAUAAAUCUAAAAAUAUCUUAAAAUUAAAACUAAAAAAUUUUAAACUAAUGCAAAUUUUUAUUAUUUAAAAAAUCUUAAAAUUUUCAAAUUAAAUUCCAUUUGUUUUCCACCGUUGAAGAACACCUUCAAUCACAUUAACAACUUCAUGCUAUUUUGCCUAGAAAUUAUUUUGCAAAUUUAUUUUGUUUUAUUUAUUUCUAAAUCCAUAUUUCUUUUCUGUAACUCCAAUUAUUAGAUUGUUUAGGGUUUUGAGUAACUUUCGAUUUUGGAAUUUUAGAUUUUUAAAUUUAAAUACGAAGUGCUCUUCUUCUUCUCCAAACCCACAAAUUUUCUACCAAAUUUCAACUCAAGGUUUUACUUUCAGCUAUAAAUAAAACAUAUAUUAUAUUUAUAAUGACCUAAGAAUAGUAGAGUCGACGCCGAUCUACAUGAAAAAGGAGGGAAAAAAACAGGCAAAGAAAGAUGAUAUGAAGAGAGCAUAAAUCAAUAAAGCAAAUGAAAAACGAGUAGAAUUAAAGUAAAUGGGUAUUUAAUAUUUUUUUGUGAAAGUUCAAAGACUAAUUAUGUAUGAGCUUGGAUGUGGAAAAAUUAGUUGGAAAUUUUUUUUCUUGCACCAAUUGAUUUUUUUUAUAUAGAAUUUGUAUUUAUUUUUUAAGAUUUUUAAAUUUUGUUACAAUUAUUUUUAUGAAAAUUUGAAAAUAUAAAAAUACUUUUUGAACUAUAAUUCAAGGAUUAAAUUAGCUAUUAAUCAUUUGAAUAAAUAAAACAUAUACAUGAAUUAAGUAAUUAAUCCACAAGCAAUGUUGGACAUUUUCAUAAUGCCAAAUUUCACUUCAGAUUUAGUUACCCAUAAUCAUAUUUAAACAAACAAAAACAUAACAAUCACACAAAAUAGGCAUAACUAGAAAACAUGAGAAAAAUGAGAAAAGCUUGAAAACAAUUACAAUGGUAGCAAAGGAAAUGUAAAAAAAAAAACUUAAAAAUCAGAUUUUUAAUGAUGAAGGGAAUUGAUCAUUUAUAUUAAAACCAAGGAUUAAACUGAAAAUACAAAGAGUUGAAGGUACUAAACUAGCAAACAAACCCUAGCUGCAAUGUUAAUUAACUUAACUAACUACUAUUGGAACCAAGAAAAACUAAAAGAAAACAUGAAUUACACCCUAGAGUUAUGGAGAAGAAAACAAAAACUCUAAAAAUAAAGAGGAAAUUUGAAAACCAUGAAAUGUUAAGUGUGCCUUUUGUUCAGCCAAUUUUUUGCCCUUUCUAGAAUUACAGAUCCAAAAAUAGUGGCCAAAUUGUCCUUGAUCGUUUAAUUUUGGUUAGGGGACAUGUUGGAAACGGAUUACCCAUACGGUUAUAUUUUGUCUCCUCUCAUCAAUGAUAUUGCCAUACCCAAAGUUUGGUAUCGCGAUAUCCACAACAAUCUUGGGGAUCCUUAGGAGUUUUGAGUAUCGCGAUACCUUAUGACUGGUAUCAUGAUAGCACUGUUGAUGGCUCAAUCUUCCUUGUUUUUAACAUUGUUAUGGGUGUUACGACUUUCAAUCUUCCUUAUUUUUAACAUUGUUAUGCAAUACCCUCUUUCUAGGUGACAUUUUCGCUCCUUCCGGGUCACCAUGGGCUCUCUGCAUCACUCACCAAUCACAUUAGAUUCCCCGGGUGCCAUUUGACCAUCUCAGGUCUCAAAAUAGCAUCAAAAUGCACACUAAUCAUUUAUUAAUAUAAAUAACUAAAACUAAAUAAAAACACAACAAAGAUAUCUAAAUUGCUCGAAAAUAAGCUUUUAAGUGUGAUGGAGAGCCUAAUUUGACAUAUCAAUUUACAGCAUGUCAUAAAUAUAAUUUGCGGAACCUUGUUAAAAUUUUGGGUUUCUUUAUUAGUUUUCUUUCAAUAUUCUGUAUGGUACAUUUGUAUUAAUAUAUUGUGCAGAUCAUAGACUAAAUUGCUUUAUUAGUUUUCUAUUGUUAAUCUCACUUUUUAUUAAUUAAGGAAUACGAAUUAGAAUUAAUAUGAAAUUACUAUUUCAACAUUUCAUAAGAAAAAGCUAAAAUAAUAUUUGUCAUAUCCCAUAUGCUCAUAUAUAGCUUGUCGAAACCAUUUUCUUGUAAAAGGGGGGUUGACUUUGGUUUUAAAACGAAAAUUGGAGUCGUCACCGAUUAUUUUUAUGAGGUGUAAUCGGGUCACCUCGUAACGGUUUAAUUUAUAACAAUUUUGGUCUACGAAAUUUAGAAGAAAAAAAGGGGUUCGGGAGUCGGUUACGUACGAGGAAGGAUUAGCACCCUCAUAAUGUCCAAAAUUGGUACCUAAUUGAUUACUUAAUGUCUUAAUGUCGAAAAUUAAAAAUUCGAAAAGAAUUUAAAAUAAGAUCCCUGUUUAUUAAUGUUAUUUAUUUUAAAAGAAUUUGCUUGAAUAAGUUGCAAUGAAUGUCAAAGACCCUCCCGUCUCGAGAUAACUAGUGUCACGUCCCGUAAGUGAGGAUACGACGCUUGGAAACCUAGAGAAUAAGCCUGGCUUUAACUCUUACUGAGAUUUCGUGUGUUUUGAAAUUUAAAAGGAUAUUUUGUUAUUUAGGUUUAACGAGAAAAUCGAAACCUCGUAAGUUAGGGUACGAUUUUUCUCGAAUUUUCAAAACGCAAAAUUUUUUUUUUGAAUUUAAGUAAAAACUAAUGUAAUAUGUAAUAAGAUAUGUGUUUAAUUUAUUCAAACAUCGCCUGAAAGUGAACAAAUAAUUUUAAAAAAAAUGAUGUAUAAUGCAACAUAUUAACUACUACAACGAAAGUGAAAUGCAAUGAAAGUCAUGAAAUCGAAAGAUUAUCGAGACUAAAUUGAAAGUCAUGAAAGAAGACAUAAACAACACCACCAUACAAAAUGUUACACUCAAACAAACCAUUACAGAUAGUACGAAAUGAAAUGGAAAGACACAGGAAUUGGCACAAUAAUAAAGACAGACACAUACAAAUGCAAACCAUAGGCAAAACGGUCUACAGAACAAGAAAUUGUGAAAAUACAACACUAAUUCUUGAACAGCAUUUGCAGUAAUUAGAUCCUUCUUCGCCUAUUGCUUCGAUUGCCUUUAUUUGACUUUCUUCUUCGCCUCUUCUCUUGUUGGUUUUCAACCAAAUUCACCAACCAUUUUGGCUUUCCAGUUUGGAAAACAACAAAUCCCACGGACAUUCCGAACACCACUCCGCAUCCAUAGCCUAUCAACCCCACUUUCCAACCAAAAGCAAUGUUUGAUUUUGAGCCAUCUUUUUCAAGCACAUUUGGAGGUGCUGGCUUAAUGAUGUUGCAACCUUUAGAGACCGGAAAUCCACAUAGUCCCUUAUUUCCUUCAUAUGAAUCAUUUCCAAAUGUGUUGAACUGUUUGCCUUGAGGAAUCUGACCAUGGAGUUGAUUUUCAGAAACAUUGAAGGACGAAAGAAAUGGCAGAUCUACCAAUCUAUUUGGAAUCCUCCCAGACAAACUGUUUGAAGAUAGGUCCAACCAUUCAAGACUUGUCAAAUUCCCUAUUGAGGUGGGGAUACCACCAUUAAGGUUAUUAUGAGAAAGGUUGAGCCCUUUCAGUAAGUUAAGCUUCCCAAAAACCUCUGGAAUACACCCUUCAAACUGAUUGUUUGAUAGAUCAAUGAUCAUCCACAUGGUGAAAAUUUUCACCAAUUCCAUAUAUUGUCCUUUCAUAACAAUUCCGAUGGAAUAGGUAUAGAAGCCGCGACCUCCAGGAUCAUUCACCCCCAUGUACGACUCUAUAAUACCAAUCUUCUCUAGAUUUAUGAUAGCCUUGAAGCUGUUGAUGUAUCUCACUGGUAGGGGUCCAGAAAAAUAAUUACUUGAGAGGUCAAAAAUUUGGACUUUAGAGAAAAAAGGGCUAGACUUGGAGCUAUUGACACAUAAGGAACCACGCAUAUGAUUUGACUUCAAUACAAGAACUUGUAGCUGUGGAAGACUUCCCAACCAAUGAGGAAAUGUAUCAUUGAUCUUGUUGUUACCAAGAUCUAGCACUUCCAGACCAUUACAAUUAAGGAUGGAUGGUGUCAAAGGCCCUUCUAACAGAUUUCCAUUUAAGUUGAAAUUACUCAAUCGGCAUCCCUUUGCAAAUGUUGGAGGAAUCGUCCCAUAGAACUUGUUCUUCUUCAAAUUCAAGAAUUCGAGGCUGUUGCUCAAAUUUCCAAAACAUUGCGGAAUUGUUCCACUCAAGUUAUUGUGGGACAAAUCAAGAAUUCGAAGAGAAGUGACAUUGCAGAUUACAGAAGAGACCUCUCCAUUGAAACUAUUAUUUGAGAUCAGAAAGACAUCGAUCGUGGAAGCUGGAAUCGGAAGAUUUCCACGGAUCAAAUUGGAGCUUAAGUCAAGAACUGCAAUAUUCUUCCACGGGAAGUGCUCAACUUCUGUCAAAGAGUUGUGAGAUACAUUUAAGUAAGUCAAAGAGCCAUUCCCCACCUCUUGCAUCCACUGUGGAAUCUUGCCUUCAAUUUUGUUGCAAGAGAGGUCUAAGCUUUCCAAACUUUUAAGCCCUUUCAAAAAUUGGGGGAAUUCACUAAGAUUGCAAGAUGACAAAAAUAACCUUGUAAGAUUAAUAGUAGAAGUAGUGUUAGAUGUUAAGGAUAGGCUGUUAUAUGAAAGGUCGAGAUAUUUGAGAUUUGGAAGGUUUGAGAACAUGCUAAACUCUAUGACACCACUAAGAGUAUUUGAGGAUAAGCUGAGGCCGGUAAGAUUGAGAAGUUGGGAUAUUGAAGAUGGAAGAGGACCUUGGAGUUUAUUAUUCUCUAAGCGUAUCAAUUCUAGUGAUUUGGAUUGAAAUUCUUUGAUAUGCCCACUGAAUUGAUUUUGAGAGAGAUCUAUUGUCUUUAAGGAGGGAGCAGCAUAUAACCAUGACGGAAGUGUUCCAUUGAGUAAAUUGUCAGAUAAGGCUAAAGAUAUUAGAUUAGGAAAAGCGGUUACGUCAUCUGGAAUGGAACCUUCUAAACAAUUAUUAGAUAUUUCCAAGUAUUCCAGCUGCGUUAGGUUUAGAAUUGACAAUGGAAUUUGUCCACUCAAUUUGUUCCCUGACAAGUCUAAAUAAGUGAGUUGCAAGAGGUUCCCCAAUGAUAUUGGAACCGGUCCUGAUAAGUCGGAAAAGGAGAGAUCUAAAAACUUCAAGGACACAAGAUUCCCCAUCAAGUCAGGCAAUCCUCCAAAAUCAUUUGCGCCUGAAAUUAUCAAUUGCUCCAAAGAUGAUAAAUUUGUGAUUGAGACAGACAAUCCUUGAAAGAAAAAAUUUCCUGAUAGAUCUAAGUACUUUAAGGCCUGUAGAUUAUCAACUGAAUCAAUGAAUUCUGUAGUGGGGGACAUCCACGACAGAUCCAAAUGUUCAAGAUUGUUGCUCCGAUUCAACUUCAAAGGAUCAAGAUUGAGGACUGGGUUGCCUCCCAAGUUGAGGAGAUUGAGGUUUGGCAAUUCAAAAAUGUUUUUUGGGAAUUUUCCUUGCAAAUCACAAUAAGCAAGACUGAGAGACCUUAGAGAAGAGGAUAGAUUCAUGAAGACAUGAGCAUUAACAGAAGACAUGUCCAUUCCAUCCAAAAACAGAUGUCUGACCUCGGAUAGGUUGUGAACAAGUCCCUUCAGAUCAUGUUUGUCAAUUGUAAAUUGCUCAUGGACAUAAAUCAAAGCGGAGAGAUCAAGUGAAACCAAUUUUGACAGGCGGGAGACUUGGGAUGGGACUUCUCCUGCAAACCCUGUACGAGAAAGGUUGAGGUAUAAUAGGCUUGUAAACCGACCGAACUCGGAUGGAAUUCUGGAAAGAUUAAAAUCAUUGUAGGCAAGGUUGAGUUUUUGAAGGUGAGGAAGAAGAAAGAGAGUGGUAUUGGAAGGGAAGUUGCCAUAUAGCCAACUGCAGCUCAAGUCAAGGGCAAUAACAUGAGCAUUUAGGUGGUCACAAGUGACCCCAUCCCAUGAGCAGCAAUCUGUACCCUCCUUCCAUGAAUUUGUCUUGGGAUAAGAUUUAAGGCCAGCAAUCUCAUCGCAAUAGAAAAAAGCAUCCUCUGUCUGAGUGAUGGAAAAAGAAUUCUUGAACUGGAUUAGUGAAGCAGCUUCAGGGUGAGAGCAGGAGUGAGAUCCUGAAGAAGAAGCAUAAAGAUGGGGAAAGAAAAGGAAUAGGCAGAGAAAGAGAUAGGAGGCCAUGUUAUGUCUGUAAAGGAAGAAGAAGGAUAGGAAUGGUAUUUAUAGGCAACAAAUAAUACCACAACAUUGGUGUUACAGUCUUUUUUUUCUUUUACAUUGAAAAGCUAUGGAGAUUAGAUUAUCAAAAUUUUUGCAUUUUUCACAAUCAUCAACAACCACUUAGUCUUCUUUUUACCAUAUAUUUUUCAUUCUUAAAAUUAGAUGCUUGUUUUUUAGCAAAAUCUUGUAUUUCAUUUGAACUCCCUAAACAACUAAAAAAAUUAAGAUUGAUGAGAUUACAAAGUAGAUUGACUUAGUCUUCUUUCCUAUAACACUUAAAGAAUGUCUUGUCAACCAAAAGAAAUGUUUAAUUUUGAGCCAUCUUUUUCAAGCACAUUUGGAGGUGCUGGCUCACUGAUGUUGCAACCUUUCGAGACCGGAAAUCCACAUAGUCCCUUAUUUCCUUCAUACGAAUCAUUUCCAAAUGUGUUGAAUUGUUUGCCUUGAGGAAUCUGACCAUGGAAUUGAUUUUCUGAAACAUUUAAGGACGAAAGGAAUGGCAGAUCUGCCAAUCUUUUUGGAAUCGUCCCAGACAACCUGUUUGAAGAUAGGUCCGACCAUUCAAGACUUGUCAAAUCCCCUACUGAGGUAGGGAUACCACCAUUAAGGUUAUUAUGAGAAAGGUUGAGCCCUUUCAGUAAGUUAAGCUUCCCAAUAACCUUUGGAACUCCCCUUCA